UCCCUGGUGGCCUAGUGGUUAAGGGCUUGGCAUUGUCACUGCUGUGGCUUAGGUUCUAUCUCUGGUCUGGGGA
rnacentral:tRNA from 1 species